UACGUAGGGUGCGAGCGUUGUCCGGAAUUAUUGGGCGUAAAGGGCUCGUAGGCGGUUUGUCGCGUCGGGAGUGAAAACUCAGGGCUUAACCCUGAGCCUGCUUCCGAUACGGGCAGACUAGAGGUAUGCAGGGGAGAACGGAAUUCCUGGUGUAGCGGUGAAAUGCGCAGAUAUCAGGAGGAACGCCGGUGGCGAAGGCGGUUCUCUGGGCAUUACCUGACGCUGAGGAGCGAAAGUGUGGGGAGCGAACAGG
rnacentral:rRNA from 1 species